rnacentral:lncRNA from 1 species
GUGGAGGUCUUUCACUCCUUCACAUGUAUUAAAGGGUUCCUGAAGGAAUUGCCACUGGCAAGAAAGCAGACUGUAGAGGGAGCGAGAAGAAUGAAAACUCAGGCCAGUGCCAUUUUUGUGGGCACUAGGCCAAGACCUCCAGAGACUGACCCUCUGGUUUAUUUUCCUUAUACAUUUAAACAGGGAGCUUGUUGUGGCCUUUACAGUAAGAAUGAAUUCUAUUGGCUGAUAAACAGAGCUCAGGUCUAGGGCCUGGAGACAGAUCUGUGAUAAGCAUAAGGACAGAUCCUAUCGGAGGAUGCAAAGCACAUGGGGCCUCUUUCGUAGGGAUAUGCUCUUUUCACUUGAGAGCUGAAGCUCAGGACUAGGACAGUGGAUAUUGGGAGGUUCCAGAGGGCUGGCUCAUAGAAGAACAAAGAGAUAUCAGAUUUUCACUCUGGCAUUCCAGGUGACAAGGUGUUAUUCAUUUCCUGCCACUGAAGAAAACAGGCCCACAUGAUUAAUAGUCCUGGUUUCUGCAGUGAUAUUCUAAGCUGUGCUUUCUACACAUGUCCUUCUUAAGGCAGUGUGCUUGGUUGAAGAGGAUGGCCUUCCUGAUAGAGAAGGACAAGUGUUUAAGUAGUCACACUCCCCUGCUAGAACCUCUAAGUAAGUUCUCAGUGUAGGAAGUUUAUUCUCAAUACUUUUUCUAUUGUUUUUUUUUUUUUAAAUCAUUUUAGGAACCUGGUAAUGGAAGCUGAGAGUACUGACUCAAGGCUGUUAUUCCAGCACUUGGAUAGCUGAGGCAAAAGCAUUGCCAGAAGUUAGAGACUAACCUAUGCUCUAUAGUGAGGUUUGGGCCAACCUUGGGCUAUGCAGUGAAAUCCCCUUAUCAUCCUCCCUUCCCCAGCUCCUAUGGUCAAUAAGGAGACCACGUAGACCUUUCAUUUCAGACUUCUAGGUAUAAAAACAAAUGAGGCCAAAUUCAAGAUUCCUUUCAUAGAACAGUCAUUUGCAGGAAAGCAAGAAUGCUUAGUUAAGCAAGGAAAGAAUAUUUGGUUGAGGGUCUUUAGAUAGACUCCUGGCUUGGUAGGUAACUUGAGUUUCCAUCCUAAACUUCUAAAAUUCAUUUUAAACAACAUAUACUUUACAAGAAUAUAAAUUUUUUCUCACAAGAAGUUUCUACAGUAUUUGAACUCUUCACACCUUGGUUUUUUACGUUGUGCAUCCCUUUCCAUUGUCUUUAUUACCUCUGUUCAUGGUAGUGUCUUCACCAGACUGCAGCCUCCUUAUCGGUACUUCCUCUCAUGAUUUUUAUUCUUUUUUUUUUUCCCCUGAGACAGGGUUUCUCUGUAUAGCCCUGGCUGUCCUGGAACUCACUUUGUACACCAGGCUGGCCUUGAACUCAGAAAUUCGCCUGCCUCUGCCUCCCAAGUGCUGGGAUUAAAGGCAUGCACCACCACGCCCGGCUGUUUCUAUUCUUUUAAGUGCUAGGAUAUAUAUAUAUUUUUUUAAAGAUUUAUUUAUUUUAUGUAUAUGAGUACCCUGUAGCUGUCUUCAGACACACCAGAAGAGGGCAUCAGAUUCCAUUACAGAUGGUUGUGAGCCACCAUGUGGUUGUUGGGAAUUGAACUCAGGACCUCUAGAAGAGCAGUCAGUGCUCUUAACUACUGAGUAUCUCUUCCGCCCUAACCCUGUCUUUAUUUUUUAAUUAAUUAAUUAAUUUUUAAAAAAUUUAUUUACAUUUCAAGUGCUAUCCUCUUACCCGGUUCCCUCCCCACCCCCGAAACCCCCUAUCCCAUCCCCCAUCCCCCUGCUUCUAUGAGGAUGUUCCUACAACCAUCCACUCACUCUCACCUCCCCACCCUUGAUUCCCCUACACUGAGGCAUCUAUCGAGCCUUCAUAAAACCAAAAACCUCUCCUCCCAUUGAUUCCUGACAAGGCCAUUUUCUGCUACAUAUGCAGCUGGAGCCAUGUGUACUGUCCAUGGUUGGUGGCUUAGUCACUGGGAGCUCUGGGAGGUCUGGUUGGUUGAUAUUGUUGUUCUUCCGAUGGGGCUGCAAACCCCUUCAGCUCCUUCAGUCCUUUCUCUAACUCCUCCAUUGUCUCCACACUUAGUGCAAUGGUUGGCUGUGAGCAUCUGACUCUGUAUUUGUAAGGCUCUGGCAGGGCCUCUCAGGAGACAGCUAUAUCAGGGUCCUUUCAGCAAGCAUUUCUUAGCAUUCACAAUAGUAUCAGAGUUUGGUGACUGUAUCUGGGAUGAAUCCUGAGGUGGGAUUGUCUCUGGAUGGCCUUCCCUUCAGUUUCUGCUCUGCACUUUGUCUCCAUAUUUGUUCCUGCGAGCAUUUUGUUCCCCUUUCUAAGAAGGAUCGAAACACCCACACUUUGGUCUUCCUUCUUCUCGAGCUUCAUGUGUGAAUUGUAUCUUGGGUAUUUAGAGCUUUUGGGCUAACAUCCACUUAUCAGUGAGGCAUACCAUGUUUGUUCUUUUGUGAUUGGGUUACCUCACUCAGGAUGAUAUUUUCUAGUUCCGUCCAUUUGCCUAAGAAUUUCACAAAUUCAAUUGAAUAGUACUCCAUCGUGUAAAUGUACCACAUUUUCUAUAUCCAUCUCUGUUGAAGGACAUCUGGGUUCUUUCCAGCUUCUGGCUAUUAUAAAUAAGGCUGCUAUGAACCUAGUGGAACAUGUGUCCUUUGUUAUAUGUUGGAGCAUCUUCUGGGUAUAUGCCCAGGAGUGGUAUAGCUGGGUCCUCAGGUAAUACUAUGUCCAAUUUUCUGAGGAACUGCCAGACUGAUUUCCAGAGUUGUUGUACCAGAGGAUAUAUCUUUAUAUAUAUUUUUAUAUGUUGAUAUCUUCACUCUUCCAGUGAUAUCUACUUCUUUUUAAAAAUUUUUCCUCUUACUUAUUUAGUUUACUUUAUGUGUAUGAGUGUUUUGCCUGCAUAUGUGUCUGGUGCCUGCUGAGGUCAGAAGAAGGGAUUGAAUCCCCUGGAAAUGGAGUUACAGUUAUGAGCUUCUGUGUGGGUGCUGGGAACCAGUCCAGUUCUCUUAACCUCUGAGCCAUCUCUCCAGCCCCUAUAUCCACUUUUUAAAUCCUUUAUGACAGCCUGCCUGCAUAAACUUCUUGAAAUAAUAUGAAUUGAAAUUGGCUUGAAAUAAUAGUCUAUACAUUGUAUUUGUGUAUGAUCUCAGCCUACUGAAAUUGUAUAAGCACCUGAAGAAGGACUUGUCUUGUUUUUAUUUUAUUAGUCUAAAAUUAAUAAUUUAUUAGAAUAAGUAUUGGAGCUUUUUCACCCCAUGCAUCUGGUCAUCUGUAACCUAGAGAUUAAAUGUGAUCUCUGUUCCGUUCAUCUCUGAGUUGCUAUAAUGAAUUGUCCUUAAAUUUGAAUGAGGCUGUUUUAGAAGGGAACUGAUUUAUGUGGCUUAUAUUAGUGUCAUUUAAACCAAUUGUAUCUUGAAACAGUGCUGGAAUGUGGGAAUACUUAAUCACUCCUUGCUUAUUUCUACAUCAAUGAGUUGAAAAUAGGUGUAGAAAACUGAGGUAAAUGAAAGUUUAGUGUUAUGAAGGAUAAAAUCAGAUGGUAAUGCCUGGGUGCAGCCUGAGUACCAACUAGAAUGCCUAACCUUUCUCCCAAAGAGUGACUUCUGAUGGAUUUAGGUCAGAUACCAGCUAGCCAGCCAGAGGCUGAGAAGUUGGAGCAGAGACUUUAGUAAUUUUGUAGUUUAUUUUUCUUUUUUUCUGUUUGUGGAUGCAGACAGGUUCAAGUUAGCAUGUUUUUAUUUUGAAACCAGGUCUUACUAUAUAACACAGGCUGGCCUACAACUCACUAUGUAGACUAGACUGGCCUCAAGCUGACAGAGAUCCACAUGCCUCUGCCUCGUGAAUGCUGACUUAGUUUUGAAUUCAAUUAACGGGUAUAUUUUUCUUAGCUGUGAGAUACCAUCUAUGAGAGCAGUGAACUGAGAAGAGGGAAUCACAACUAAAGAAUUAUCUCUAGCAGACUGACUUGUGCACAUGUCUGUGAGGUAUUUUCUUAGCUAGUAAUUACUGUAGGAGGGCCCAGUCCCUCAUGGGUGGUGCUACUUCUAAGUGUGUGGUUGCAUAAGAAAGCAGGCUGAACAUUUUAGAGAGGAAAUAAACCCUUUCCCUUCUAAAGUGUUUUUGAUCAGGUUGAUCUCAGCAACAAGAACACAGACUGAGACAUUGUUCUUACAGAGAACCUCUUCUUGUGGUUCCCAGCACCCAUAGCCUACGGCUACAACUAUUUCCAGAGAAUCUCGUGCCCUCUGGCUUCUGUGGGCAUCUACACACUGAGUGUUCACAUAGACUCACAGAGGUACAGACAUAUCAAAGUACAUCUCAUAAAAGAAGAAGCAGGGAUUCAUCUUCAGCAUGGCAGUGAGAUUGGAAACUUCCUCCUGCAUAAACAGAAGGGAUAAUGUGAGGAGUUUCUUUUCUGAAGGAAACCUGUGAUUGGUUCCCCCUUUUUCUCUCUUGCUUCCAUAAUUUUAGAUGCAUCUGGAGGCACUGAGUGCAUAGGUUUCUCUUUGUGCUGCAUAGGUUUUUAUGGUUGAAAUUUUUCUUUGCAGAUAGAGCAAUGAUAUAGCAUCUCAUCACCUGAAAUCUCCUUUAGAUUUCAAAUACGGCACACAUGCAAAU